CAAACUAUUUGGAAUGGUGGGAGGCGGUUUAAUCAAGCUGAAGACAUGGCAGAAGACAGCUGUGGCAUUAGGUUCUGCAGUUGGAGCACUUUUGGAUCCACGAAGAGCUGAUUUGAUAGCAGCUCUUGGUGAAACAACCGGAAAGCCUGCCUUUCAAAGGGUUCUUCAAAGGAUGAAAUCUUCCCCUGAAGGAAGGGUCGGUUCUCCAAUUUUUAGUUAUUUUCAUGUUCUUUUAUUCUUUCAACAACAUGUUUGUUUUCUUUUGGAAUUUCAAAAUUCUACAAGGAUGAUUANGGGAGGGAGGGAGGGAGGGAGGGAGAUUGAGAGAAUCGCUCAUAUUUUCAUAUAUUUGAAUUGUGUAUUACAAUUUUCUGAUCUGUUAAUAACAGAUUCUGGGAAUUUAUAUUAUUGUUAUCCUGCACCCAGUAUUGGCUUAACCUGCACAUGUGGCACUCUAUUUUUCACGUGCCUGAUUAUAGCUGUUACACAGCUAGAACACCAGAAAACUAUCUAGAGAUGAUCUCACCCCUUGCAAUAGUAUAAUGGUUCUGCUUUCUGCCUAGAAACAGUUUCAGUUCAAUAAAACAGUAAUUUCAUGUAAAUCAAAUUGCUGUGUGUUAAAUCUUGUUAUGAAAUAUAAUAUAGUUGCAUGAGCUAGCUAGCAUCCCUGUACCCCCAAAAAUAAAUUCUGCUGGAAUAAUUGCAAAAUUUUCUCUAUUCUUUCUUCAUAAAUUUAGGGGUUGAAAUAAUUGAAGGGCAUUUAUAUGUUGGAACAGAUAGGUGCAAGCUUCAGAUUAUGUCCGACCACUGUUUGCAGAGGUAGCAUCUGUGGCUUUCAGUGACAAAAACUUUCUUUAAGGAGCAUGUCUUUUGUAUUUUGUAACCAUUGAUGUCUAAAAAUGGAGAUGUCACCAAGUACUCCAAUGACAGGCCCCCUUUGCUGAAUUGUUGCCACCUUAUUUUCUCUUGAGCAGCUUAGGGUACUGAGAUUCAAGAACGCAACUACGUUUAUGGAAGGAUGCAUCUCAUCUUACGGUUGAGAACCUCGUUGUAGUGGUGGUUUAAACUAUGUAACUGAACACACAGACUAUGACAUUGUAUAUUUAAUCUUACCUUAAAAAUUUUGAGGGAAAAGAAAUAGAUGAUGAGUUGGCAAUUUUCCAGUAGAUGUCAAUGAAUUAUAUGAAUUGUGUGAUUGAUCUGAAAAAUCAUUUUUUGAAAUCUGCAUAUUUGCAUACCCUCCAUGGCAGUUUCAAAGUUUCAAUACUGUAUUUUCUUUUCUCUUACAUUAGGUGAUAUUUGAAGGAUUUGGUGAUGCAGAAAGCACGCAGUUUCAUGCUGUAAUACAUCAAAGCUGUUGAUAUUAGAUCGGACAGUCUAGAUUAUACAUCAAUUGAAUGAUCUCAGCCAUUGAUCUAAACCAGACGGUCCUUAUUUGUAUCCCUCAAUCAAAGUAAACCAGUGUGGCACGCAGCUCUGAUAUGGAAAAAUAAAAUAAAAAAGUCAACAAAAAAUAUACCAAACCUUAUAAAUGAACUAUUGAUAUAAUUGAAUCGGAUAAUAAACUAAUAUUUAAGCUCACUUGCUGCCACCAUUUGGAGUUGGUUGCUGGCAUUUGGGAAGUUUGCAAUAGAGGUUGGACUCUUCAAUGUAACCACUGGCUCCUCAGUUUUAUGCUAUGCAGAAUUAAGUUCUUGAUGGGGCUUUACACAGGUAAUUAAGAUUAUUGUUAUUUUGAUAUGUUUUUCUUUNUAUUUGGAAUGGUGGGAGGCGGUUUAAUCAAGCUGAAGACAUGGCAGAAGACAGCUGUGGCAUUAGGUUCUGCAGUUGGAGCACUUUUGGAUCCACGAAGAGCUGAUUUGAUAGCAGCUCUUGGUGAAACAACCGGAAAGCCUGCCUUUCAAAGGGUUCUUCAAAGGAUGAAAUCUUCCCCUGAAGGAAGGGUCGGUUCUCCAAUUUUUAGUUAUUUUCAUGUUCUUUUAUUCUUUCAACAACAUGUUUGUUUUCUUUUGGAAUUUCAAAAUUCUACAAGGAUGAUUAUUGCUUCAUUUCUUCAGAUUAAAGGGGUUAUAGAUAGUCAUCACUAAUACCAAUGCAUUUGCUUUUACAACCUUACCUUGUUUGACAGGCAGUACUUUUGGAGCGCCCUCGUGUUGUAUCUGCGAAUGUAGGACAUGCUUGGGACCUGCCAGCUAAUACAUUUGGUGCUGCCUAUGCUAGAUUUAUGGGAUCCAGGAAUUUUUCACCAGAUGAUCGACCUCCUGUGCGCUUCAUGGAUACAGAUGAGUUGGCCUAUGUUGCCAUGCGAGCUCGUGAAGUCCAUGACUUCUGGCAUACCCUUUUUGACCUUCCUACUAACUUGAUUGGGGAGUCAGCGCUAAAGGUAAUUGAGUUUGAGCAGAUGCAUCUUCCUAUGUGUGUCAUGUCUGUUUUAGGAGGCACAGCAAGAUUCAGUGAAAAACAAAGAAAAUUGUUUUAUCAGCACUACUUCCCCUGGGCUGUUCGUGCUGGCACACAGUGCAAUGAUCUCAUGUGUGUAUAUUAUGAGCAGCAUUUUCAUCAAGAUUUGGAAGAUGUUCGCAGAAAAUUGGGAAUUAUUCCUGUUCCAGCUAUUCCUUGACUCAAUGCUUUCCGAGUUUAUGAGUUUAUGUUUAUUUUUCUGGUUAUUAUAGCUGAUGGUAGAAUAGUGCAAUCAUAUUUUGUUUUUUAAUAAUAUCCAGUGCAAAAUCUAUCUCCAAUAUUUUAGUUAGUGAGUUUUAUAUAGGUUGUAUUUUAUCAGUGACUUGUAUAUCAUGAUCAAUUUAAAUAGACUUACGAACACAGGCUGUGUUCAGUUUUAUAAUCCACAUUUCCUAUAGUGAUUCUUCAACCAAUAUAAUUGUAGCCAAUGGAUUUCAUGUAUGACCGAUUAUUGAAAGGAUAAUUGCCUAUAUCUGGACGAAAUCUUAUCUAUAACUAUACCGUGGCUGUCAAAAGUGCUGGAUCGUGCUGCACUCGCGGAAGAGCAUGGCAUAGCAACGGCUCACCUUCACAGGAGUCACUGACUCACUGGCGUGUCACUUAUUAUGGAUGUGACCGGAACAGAGAAGUUUUGGCUCAGUUUCACAAUGCAGUUUGAGUAUGGAGUGUGGACAGACACACCAGAGAUGCAAAUGUAACAAUGAAAUUUAUUUACCUUAUGUCUUUAUGAAUAUAAAAAAAUUAAAUUUUAAUAUUCAUUAAUUAAUGUAACAACACGUCUUUAGAUCUUGUAAAAAAACACGCCGUUAUAUAUAUAUAUAUAUAUAUAUAUAUAUAUGUGUGUGUAUGUAAAAUAACAUUUAUUAAAUUAUAUUUUUAGAGAUUAAAUAAACUACUACUAUUUUUUUUUAUUUGAUAAAGAAAUAAUAAUAAUAAUAAUAAUUAUUAUUUUUUUAAAGAAAUUAUUUAUUUUUAUUUUUAUUAUGUUACACUAAUUUUGCAAUAAAAAAAGUCUAUACCCGUUUCUAUCUCGUACAAACCUAGAGUAUAUUUUUAUAAUUUUCUUUUUAUUUUAUUUUUUGUCAUUUAACUUUAUUCCACACACACCAUAUUUAUUUCAAAGUUAAUUUUCUCUCUCUUCACCAAAGAAAUCUAGAAAACUCUCUCAUUCUCAAACAAACCCUAGCCGACGCCUCCUCCUCCUCCUCCUCCCUCCUUCAGUGUNGCUUGCUAAAAAAUGUGCAACUUGCUCGGUCAAAUUCUAUCAAAGAUGGUCGGAACCUUAAUAAUGAGAACAAGAAUACAAAUGGUUUCAUGUUGUUGGAUAAAGAUAAUGGCCAGAAUGGAAGUUCUCUUAGAAAAGACCACCGCAAAAAGAGUUCUCCAUUGAAGUUAAUCAUCAUGUCUGCAAGUCUUGAUGCUCGCACCUUCUCUGAGUACUUUGGUGGUGCCAAAGCUGUUCACAUCCAAGGGAGACAGUUUCCUGUGGAUAUAUUUUAUACUCGUCAUCCAAAAACAGAUUAUGUAGAUGCUGCCUUGAUAACGAUUUUCCAGGUCAUUGGUUUAAUCAGUGCAUGUAAUAAUUUAAUAACGUGGUUUAACUUAUUUUAUUGUAAGAGACCUUAGAUCCUAAUGCACCUCAGUCUUAGGACAGUAAUUCUGUGUAUGCAUUUAUGGUACAUGUUUGUGCAUUGCAUCAGUCAUUCAGCCAUACUGCUGUUAAUACACACACCGACACACAGAUUAGAUUAUAACAUCGCGGCGAUGGCUGAGAAGUUAAGUUCAUAUUAUUGUCAUUUAAAGUCUUGUGUCUUUGAUGUUAUAGGUUCAUCAAGAUGAGGCUCCUGGUGAUAUACUAGUAUUUCUGACUGGGCAAGAAGAGAUUGAUGCUGUUGAAAGGCUUAUCAAGGAGCGACUUUCAAAGUUACCUCAAGAAUAUCAGAGGCUUCAAGUUGUGCCAAUAUAUGCAGCUCUUCCAUCUGAGCAGCAAAUGCGAGCCUUUGCACCGGCUCCAUCUGGGUUUCAUAAGGUAUCCUGUAGCUAUGCAUAUUAUCCUUUGUUAAAUUAUCGUAUUACUUCUGCAUAGAAUUUUAUAGAAAAAUCAGGAAAAUAAGUUUAAUUUAUCCAAUCGUUAUUUUUUUAUUUAAUUUAAACAGUUGACAUUUCCAUCUAGGUUUUUAUUUAUUCUCUUGAAGCACUCUGUUUCCUAUGACGAUGUUAUUAAUUUAUAAAGUAAAUGCUGGUUCCCGGUUGCCUCAUUUAGUGCCUCAGCGUGUUUAGAACAUAUGCUCGUUCUUUAAUAUUGCAUAUUUUGUUAUAUGGAAGUUUCAUCAUUGGAUGUUCUCUUAGACACGUUAGACUUAUAUAAUGAUCAUCUUCUGUUAGAACUGGUAUCGAAAGUAGAAAAAGUAAGAUCGAAAAACUGAAAAUUGCAAAAAAGUGGUUCUUGAGUUGAUAACAAUAUGCACUAUGGCCAAUAUAUCAAAUUGGUGGAUACAUCAGCCUCUGGUUUCAAGUACCUGCAACUUCCAAAUUCUACAACCCCCACAAACUCGCUACUUUCUAGUUCCACCCGUAUUUAUGAGUUAUAACUCCCCCUUCCUGUCUCUUCUUGGUUAGUUAUUUAGAUACAAUGUAUUUCCUAUACUGUCCCCUGCUCUUCCUCAUAUCGCUAUAAAUUAAUAGGAAGUUUCUCAACAUUUUCCAUUUACAUUCAUGAUUUGUUACCUCUACUCUCUAUCGUUUGAUAGCGUUUCCAUUGUGGUCCAAUUCCUCUGAUGUCAAAUUCAGAACUAACAUUUUUUUUCUUCCAACGUCAUUAUUUGCUUUGUUGCUUCUAUCAUUGGAUCACUUUGGUUGUAAUGUACUAUAUGUAUUGUUUUUUAUACCGUCACACUUACCGAAAUGCACCUACCAGUAUCUAUGUAUACCAACCUAUGAUUUUCCUUUACUUAUAAGUUAUAACCUUCAUCAUGUAAUAUGUCACCAUCACCUAUACUCCUUUUGGAACUAUGCCAUCUGAACUGGCAACAAUCCUUAUACAAAAUAGUGUCUGCUAGGAGUAGGACCAUAUUUUUUUCCCAUAGUAGAGUGUCACCUUUUUAGUUUGAGCCUGUGAAUAACAAUAACACCAAUCAAGCCUUUAAUGUGAGCUACUUUAUAUUCAAAGUAACCUCUGAUAUUUAUCAUAGCAGGUAAUCACAUGUCUUAAAUUUUAUUCAACUUGGCUCUUUCUUGUUCUGUUAGGUGAUAUUGGCAACUAAUAUUGCCGAGACAUCAAUUACGAUUCCUGGAAUCAAGUAUGUAAUUGAUCCUGGACUUGUAAAAGCGCGUUCCUAUGAUCCUGGAAAAGGCAUGGAAUCUUUAAUUGUAGUACCUACAUCCUAGUCUCAGGCAUUGCAAAGAAGGUAUGGUACUGGAUUAUGUUUCAAUCUGUUUAAUAUUUGAUUCUGUUUCAUGUUUAAUUGCUGCUGUAAUUGUUGGUUGAAUUAAUUUAGUUAAUGUAAUGAAAAUUAAACAAGUUUGGUUCAGUUUAACUGAGAAUGACUUCCUUUCUCAUUUCAAGUUGAGUUUGUUGAUGACCUUUGAUUUUCCUCAAAAAAUGUGUAUUUUCUUAACUAAGGUCUUUGAAAUGUGAAUCCAGCAUCAUUAUUUCUAGAACUUCUUUUUUGUUAAACAUGGCUUGGCUUAACAACAACAAUUAACUAAAACCUUAUCCCACUAGUUGUGGGCGGCUAUGAGUCAAAUGAUGCCAUAAUUUAAAUGACACCAUAAUCAAAACCAUUGAUUUCCCUCAAAAACAUGUAUUUUCUUAACAAAGACUUUGGAAAUGUGAAUCUACCAUCAUUACUUCUAGAACUUGUUUUUUUUAUUACACAUACCGAGGCAUUACAACAACAAUAAUAAAACCUUAUCCCACUAGUUGGGGUCGGCUAUAUGAGUCGAAUGCCACCGUAGUUCCCUAUCUUGUGAUAAGUUCAGAAAUAGAUUCCCUACUUCUAAAUCUCUCUUGAUGGUUUGGCCUAUAGUUUUUCAUGGUCUCGCUCUACCUUUAACCAUUGGACUAUCUUUUAUCUAGCAAACUUUCCUUCAUAGUGUCGUGUGUGUCCACUCAUCUAUCUUAACCUUCUUAUUAUGCAACAUAAGUAAUAUAUUUAGUUUGAUUUUGCUAGAAGAGUAGUGCAAAUUGAUUAUCUGCAUUUUGGUAACAGUGGGCGUGCAGGGCGUGAAGGACCUGGAAAAUGCUUUCGGCUAUAUCCAGAAAAUGAAUUUGAGAAACUUGAGGAUUCAACAAUGCCGGAAAUUAAGCGUUGCAACCUUUCUAAUGUCAUUUUGCAGCUUAAGGCUUUGGGUGUUGACGACAUAUUAGGGUUCGAUUUCAUUGAGAAACCUUCAAGGUGAGAACCUUAUCAAAAUUUUGGUUUGACAACUUCCCUACUUAUGCAUAUUUGUGGAUAAGUUCUGAUUGCUUAUAUUUUUAAGGCUAAGUUACUAUGUAGAUUUUAAAGUUUCACUUUGUUUUUAAAUAGGUUCUUAUACUUGAAAAAAAAUUAGUGUUCUGAAAGAAUCUAUUUGAAAAUUCAUGAAACUACAGGGGUCUGCAGACUAAUGAAGCCUGUUUAAAAUAUGCAUGUCCUGAAAGCUUUUCUUUCCACCUUCUGCUUAUCUUUUAAAAGGAUUUUUAAGUCACUUGAAAAGAUGCUAUUAUCUCUCUACCAAGAUGAUUCCUUCAACCUAUAUAGGUCCUUUUGAUUAUCCUUUAAUUUCUUUUUGUUGUAAUGUGAUCUAAACUGGAGAUAAAAAUCCAUUUGAAUAUUAGGUGCUUCAAUUCAAAUUUUCUUUCAUGAAAAAUAAAAUUAUUGAGGUCUGACUAUAUUGUAUUCUUAUACAUAAAGAAUAAGAAUGACAUGACAUUUAUAUUGACAAAUAACCAAAAAUCAAUAAAAGUGUCAUAUAUAUUAUUAAUGCAGAAAUAUUUUUAGGAAUAUUUGUAUACUGAUAAAGAAACUAAGAAUAAUACAUAGACAGCACUAAAUAAAACCUUGCUUGGACCAUGAACUUGUACCUUAAAAUGAAUCUAUAAAUAUAAUUUCUAUGUACCUGAAAACUACAAAAUAUUAAAAGUGGGCUUCCGAGAAAUUUUUUGGACUGAAUGGAGAAAAUACAUUUACCUGAGUUAUUAAACACGUAUGUUCGACUUACUGGUUUUCAACCUUGCACACAAGGCAAUCAGUAGUGAGUUCAAAUAUUUGAAACCUCUAUUGACUCAGUUUCUUUGAUGUCAGUUGUCUCAUGCAUUGUACUCCAUAACUAAAUUACGAACAUUUUUAUAGAGUUCUUCGUUUCUUUCUGUGUUUUCGAAAAGUAUAUCACCGAGCAACAUAUUACUCAAAGCUUGUACCUGUCACAUGUUUUAACAGGACAGCUAUAGUAAAAUCAUUGGAGCAGCUAUUUUUGUUAGGUGCUUUGACAGAUGACUGUCAACUAUCUGAUCCAGUUGGACUUCAAAUGGCCCGACUUCCCUUGGAUCCAGUUUAUGCCAAAGCUCUUAUUUUAGCAAGUCAGUUUAACUGCUUGGAAGAGAUGUUGAUAGCUGUUGCAAUGCUUUCUGCGGAAUCCAUAUUUUAUUUUCCGCGCGAUAAGUAUGAAGAGGUUUGAAGAGUGAAUUCGGAUUGUAAUCCAUUCCUAUCAUAUUUUAUUGUUCUAUUUUGGUGAAACGUAAAUACGUGCAUGAAUCAUUGAUUAUGUGCUAUGCCACUCUAUUGGUAUAUUCACCGUUUAACAAAAUAUUUGAAAAAUAUCAUACGGAUGGUUUAACUAUAUGCGAUUGGUAAUGACCGUAUGAAAAUUCUAGUCUUCAUUUGACGUCAACUUGUCUUCUCUACACUUAACUUAUUGUGCUUCUCUGAUUUAUGGCCAGGCAAGAACUGCAGCUAAGAGCUUUGCAAGUCCAGAGGGAGACCACAUCACUCUGAUUAAUGUGUUUAGAGCAGCUACUGAUUUAUUGGAGAAGAGAACUAUCGAAAUUAAUAAAAUGAAAAAUGAAAAGGAUUUUAGAAAAUGGUGCAAAGAAAAUUUUAUCAAUAGCCGUUCUCUUAGACAUGCUCGUGACAUUCACAGGUUGUUUUAUUGUGCUUAAACUUUAUUUCAAGGCAUCUAUAAUAUCCUCAAGACAUUUUAUGCAUUCUAAUUUCUGAAACGCCUUUUUCAGGCAGAUUCAAGGACAUGUUCAACAAAUGGGUCUGAAACUUGCUUCUUGUGGAGAAGAUAUGCUUCAAUUUCGCAGAUGCCUUGUUGCUUCCUUUUUCCUCAAUGCAGCUGUGAAGCAGCCAGAUGGAACCUACAGGUAUCCAUUUUAACUUCAAAAUUCUUGGGCAGGCCCAUUAGGCCAUCUAAUUGGAAUCAUUACAUGAAAAUAUCGUUUAGUUUUGAAAUUUUUCAUUGGUAAUUAUGAUUCGCUAAUUGGAGUCCUGACCUUACAUGCAUAUACACUCUUAUAAUAUUUUGCUUUUUUGUUUUUACUUAUACUUUUAUGAUAAAAAAAGACUCUUACUGCUUCUUCACACAACAGGGCUUUGGCAAGUGGUCAGGUGGUGCAGAUCCAUCCUUCGUCUGUAUUGUUCAGGAAGAAACCAGAGUGCAUAAUAUUUAACGAACUGAUUCAAACUAAUAACAAGUAUGUCCGUGAUUUAACCAGAGUUGACAACCUAUGGUUAACUGAACUGGCUCCUCAGUUUUAUGCUAUGCAGAAUUAAGUUCUUGAUGGGGCUUUACACAGGUAAUUAAGAUUAUUGUUAUUUUGAUAUGUUUUUCUUUUUGGUCUUGACCCUGUUGGGUGGUUUUUGAAUAUGUAUUAUGCGCAAAUUUUAUUUUGCGUCCAUGACNGGGAGGGAGGGAGGGAGGGAGGGAGAUUGAGAGAAUCGCUCAUAUUUUCAUAUAUUUGAAUUGUGUAUUACAAUUUUCUGAUCUGUUAAUAACAGAUUCUGGGAAUUUAUAUUAUUGUUAUCCUGCACCCAGUAUUGGCUUAACCUGCACAUGUGGCACUCUAUUUUUCACGUGCCUGAUUAUAGCUGUUACACAGCUAGAACACCAGAAAACUAUCUAGAGAUGAUCUCACCCCUUGCAAUAGUAUAAUGGUUCUGCUUUCUGCCUAGAAACAGUUUCAGUUCAAUAAAACAGUAAUUUCAUGUAAAUCAAAUUGCUGUGUGUUAAAUCUUGUUAUGAAAUAUAAUAUAGUUGCAUGAGCUAGCUAGCAUCCCUGUACCCCCAAAAAUAAAUUCUGCUGGAAUAAUUGCAAAAUUUUCUCUAUUCUUUCUUCAUAAAUUUAGGGGUUGAAAUAAUUGAAGGGCAUUUAUAUGUUGGAACAGAUAGGUGCAAGCUUCAGAUUAUGUCCGACCACUGUUUGCAGAGGUAGCAUCUGUGGCUUUCAGUGACAAAAACUUUCUUUAAGGAGCAUGUCUUUUGUAUUUUGUAACCAUUGAUGUCUAAAAAUGGAGAUGUCACCAAGUACUCCAAUGACAGGCCCCCUUUGCUGAAUUGUUGCCACCUUAUUUUCUCUUGAGCAGCUUAGGGUACUGAGAUUCAAGAACGCAACUACGUUUAUGGAAGGAUGCAUCUCAUCUUACGGUUGAGAACCUCGUUGUAGUGGUGGUUUAAACUAUGUAACUGAACACACAGACUAUGACAUUGUAUAUUUAAUCUUACCUUAAAAAUUUUGAGGGAAAAGAAAUAGAUGAUGAGUUGGCAAUUUUCCAGUAGAUGUCAAUGAAUUAUAUGAAUUGUGUGAUUGAUCUGAAAAAUCAUUUUUUGAAAUCUGCAUAUUUGCAUACCCUCCAUGGCAGUUUCAAAGUUUCAAUACUGUAUUUUCUUUUCUCUUACAUUAGGUGAUAUUUGAAGGAUUUGGUGAUGCAGAAAGCACGCAGUUUCAUGCUGUAAUACAUCAAAGCUGUUGAUAUUAGAUCGGACAGUCUAGAUUAUACAUCAAUUGAAUGAUCUCAGCCAUUGAUCUAAACCAGACGGUCCUUAUUUGUAUCCCUCAAUCAAAGUAAACCAGUGUGGCACGCAGCUCUGAUAUGGAAAAAUAAAAUAAAAAAGUCAACAAAAAAUAUACCAAACCUUAUAAAUGAACUAUUGAUAUAAUUGAAUCGGAUAAUAAACUAAUAUUUAAGCUCACUUGCUGCCACCAUUUGGAGUUGGUUGCUGGCAUUUGGGAAGUUUGCAAUAGAGGUUGGACUCUUCAAUGUAACCACUGGCUCCUCAGUUUUAUGCUAUGCAGAAUUAAGUUCUUGAUGGGGCUUUACACAGGUAAUUAAGAUUAUUGUUAUUUUGAUAUGUUUUUCUUUUUAAUGUAAUUGCAAAUAUAUAUUGGUCUUGAUUAUAUAUUAACCAAAAUCAUAUUAACUUUAUUUUAGUUAUGGAAUAUCGAACCAAAAUCAUGAUUUUGAACCGAAAUGUAUUUUUAGGCUUGAAGUGUGAGAAAUUUCUUUUCAACAUUUACCAUGAAAAUGCACAAUUAAACAACUAUGAAAAGUCUAGGAUUUAUCGUGCCAUGUUGAGUUGAUGCUACUUCUGUAUUUUACUUAUUGAAUUUUGCUCUCCCCCUGCAGUUUUCACUCGCGCCCUGCAGCAUAGCCCAAAUCACCCUUGCGCAAGUUAAGUUACGCUGCGUGACUUAACAUGCGCACGUUGAGUCCUAUGCGUGACUUAAAAUGCGGUGCGUGAGUUAACUUGCGCAGCGUUACUUAAGUCACAUAUCAGCAAUACAAAAACACAUUUCCCUCAUUUCCUAAACUUUCCAACUUCGAAUUUUUUCCCCCCAUAUCCGAUUUUCAUCAUUCUUGCGCCAUUCAAAGCCAAUUUCUUCCAAAAUAUCAAGUGAUGAUUACCCUACUUAAUUCCAUUUUAUUUGUAGAAAUUUUAGGUUUUUAUAAAUUUUGCUUGCAUGUUAGUUUUGAUGAUUGUUAGUGAUGAAUUAACUUAGCAAUUGUUGUUUAGAGUACAAUGUGGUAGUUUAGGGUUCACAAAUUGUUAGAUUACCUAGUUGUUUGAAAAUUGCACACUAUGUGUUUGGUAAAAUGUCUCAAUGGUAAUUAUUUUGUUUUUUUGGAUUGUGAAUUAUCAAAUUAGUUAGAAUAUGGUUUGUUAAUAUUGAUUAUAAUAUGUUUGACUGCAAUGUGGUAGUUUACGGAUUGAAAUGACAUUGUUGGAAUUUUAGUGUUGACUUGUUCGAAAUGACAAUGUCAGUGUGAAAAUGUAUCAUUUAAUUUGUAGUAUGUUAAAUGUUGUGCAGAUAUGCCUCAGAGGAAUACGUCUCAGAGACCGCCUGAGCCGCCUUAGGAUAGGAGUGACAGACUUAAGGGCAGGGAGGCCUGCCCCUACCGGUAGUGCACGAAGGGAGAAACAAGCAUUACGCCCUCCUAUGGCUGGUCGAGGGAGAGGUGGAGGAACGAGACUUGCUAGAGUUGAUGCUGCAGGGGGGUCAACGUCACAGACGGGUCCAUCCCAGGCAGUGAACCCGACACAGUAUCAGCAGGAUUAUCAGGUGUAUGAGCAGGCGCAGGAUCAGACCUAUCAUUUUCAGGAGCCUUAGCCUCAAUUGUAUCAGUUUGAUGCCUUUCAGCAGCAUCAAUAUGAGGAUCAUCAUGAGCAGCCUGGUAUUGAGGAGCCUCAACAGCAGGAUGAUAUUGAGCAGCCUCAGCAACAUGAUGGUGGGGAUCGUUUUCAGAGGUGACGCUUUUACCUCACUUUGGUGGACAUGUGGCAUGCAGGGUCUGGGUCGAUGCCGAUGUACGUAUAAUUUAAUUAUUAUUUUACUUAUUUAAUGUUAGAAUUAAAAUUUAUGUUAGCAUAUAUUUAAUGUUUGAUUUACUUAUUAUUUAAUUAACGGUGUUGUUUGUUGUUUUUUGUUUUUGUAUUUCAGUUUCGAAGAAAACAUAGGGUGAAAGGUAUCUUGCACGAGAAGAAACUGAGCCUUAAAAACUUGACAUUGCCUAUGCCGGGGGAACAAAACGAGUGAUUUUGGUUAGAAGUGAAUAUGUCUGGUCUUACUCCCCUCCUGACUAGUGGGUACGAGAACAUCUCUCACGGGUUUGUUUGUGCGAUGACCAUAGAUGGUGUGGGGAGAUGACCAUCCCACUAGAUGGUGUGGCGUGUCUCCUGGGCUUCCCCAUCACUGGGAGGCUCCUUCCCGAUAGAGAGUUUACCCGUGAGGAGGGGCUAGAGAUGAUGCAGAUGGACCUACUGUUUACAGAGGAGGCUGCCGCUAAGGAGAUGACAAAACAGGGUGCUGCUCACGUCAGUUUUGGUGUACUGAAGAGGUGCUACGAGGAACUCUUGAAUAGGUGUAACCAGCUGCUUGUGAAUGACACAUAGAAGGAGCAAGACGAGCGAGCUGAAGUUAGGCUGGCCUGUAUUAAGGCAUUUCUGUUACUCUUGCUUGGCUGGACCAUUUUUUCCGGGAAGAACAGCAAAAACAUUAAUCAUCUUUGGCUGAUUGCUAUGCAAGAUAUGGACGAGUUGGACAGCUGGUCAUGGGGUGGGAUGGGACUUGCUUUCCUAUAUGAGCAUCUAUCUCUUACCUCCGACUCAUCUGUGGCCUCCUAUGGUGGUUCCAUGACAUUGCUUGUGGUAAUAUUUGUUUUUCCUUCUUUUUUACUUAUUGAAUCGUAAAUGUUUAGUUGUUUGUAUAAUUCUUGCGGUGAUAUAAAUAUUUUUUUUCUGUGUUUGCAGGGAUGGACUUUGGCGCACUUCUCGAACAUUAUUCCGAGGAUUGAUGAUGAUGCCUACGACCCUGCUGUUUCCCCACUUGUGAGUGAAUGGAAACCUUCAAGGGGCUUUUCUAAUCCUGGACACUACAGAGCUGUCAUCGAUUCGUUGGACCAUUCACAUGUCACCUGGAGGCCGUACGAGAGACGACGACAUCACGCCCUUUCAGGACAUAUGCUAGUACUCCGGAUGGAUCAUGGCCGGCAGCGACAGGAUGGUCCGUAACUUGCCAGAGCCGGUUCUUAGGCAGUAUGGGUAUGUCGACUAUUCUCAGGGCUUCUACAGACAUUGAGCUUAUUGCGGCGAAUGAUGUGGCUCAGGCCUUCAUGGAGUUUGCUCUACAUGUCCUCAGCCAUCAGGAUAGGGGUCAUCCGGUUCCGGAUAACCAGCCGUGGGCUCAUACUAGGGGGUACAUGAGAUGAUUCAUUAGAGUAUCACAUCCUAUUGUGAACCCCCCUGCGGCCAUUCCUGACUAUGCAGCUGCUGCCCCUCCUCGUCCUGUCCCUCCUUAUGAGGAGGUUAUUGUUAAGUAGCAGUGGGUCAGACAUCCUCCAGACCCAUACCAGAUCAUCAACAAUAUCAGAGCCAGAGUGGAUGGUGCAAUGGGACAUCCUGCUGUGUUUCAUAAUCCAGAGGAGAUUAUGCGCUUGAUGCAGGGCAUACAGUCUGAGUGGAGCAUGCUGGUGCAGGCUCUGCGGAGGAGGAGUAGGAGUCCACGGGAUGGACAGUAUGACUUGUGUAGCUUUUAUGACUUGUGUAGUUUUUUUUGUAUGACAUUUUGUUGGAUUUGGUUGUAAUCCUAUAACACUUGCGCUUUUUAGCGUUUUUAUGACAUUAUUCGUUAUUUUAUUCCGUGUUUUAUUCCGUUAUUUUUCAUAAUAUACUUAUGACUUAAUGCUUGAUUGAAUGAAUGCUUGAAUGAAUGAUGAAAAAUGUUUGCUUGAAUGAAUGUAUGAAAGAAGGAUUGCAAAAAAUAGGGAAAAUAGAUGUUUCUGCCUCUUCUGGUUGUAUGCACAGACGGUGCGCGAGUUAACUCACGCAUGUGUUAAUGGUUGCGCAAGUUAACUCACGCAGUGAUUUACACUUGCGAUACUUAAGUUGCACAACAUUAGUUAACUAACGCAUACAUUUACACUUGCGUUAGUUAACUAACGCAUGGAUAUUUUGGGCAUGCCUGCAGGACCUGAGCAAAAUGUACAGAGUGAAAGCAGAAUUCUUACUUAUUUUCCUUUGGAAAACCACACUAGAGGCAUUGCCUCACAUUAAUCACAAGGUCCAGCUAAUAUAUUCACGUUCUGAAUCAUGUUCACCAAGCAUAUUUCAGUAACUACUAUGAAUUCAUUACUAACAAGCAUAUUUCAAACUCUUUUGAAGAGUUUAACAAUUGAUGUAUGCUACAUACCAUGGUAUGCUAUCGAAUCACAUGCACAACGGCGGAUCGAGGACCCCGGAUUAGGGGGUGCGAACAAUUUAGCUUCGAUUAAUAUUUGUUUAAUCACACACAUACUCCCUCCGUAUCAAAAUAUAAGCAAAAUUCACUUUUUAGGUUCAUUCAUUUAAUGAUGUAUGUGGUUCAUAAUAUGGACCACAUAAUCAUUAAAUGAAUGAACCUAAAAAGUGAUUUUUGCUUAUAUUUUGACACGGAGGGAGUAUCUUACAUAUAUUUCUAUGAUGGGCUGAGUAUGAGGCGAUGCAGAACGCAACUUCGAUUAAUUUAAAUUUGAAACAUAGUGCAGUUUGAUCAUAUUAAAUUCUCAUAUAAUGAACUUGUGUUAAACAUAUAUGUGCAUGAAGUAAAGGAUCCAAAAGAAAAAAAUAAGUCAUAUUAACCAUCUAAUGUUUUUAUUCAUGAAUCAUGCGCCUUCUUUAUUUUAGGGUUUUAAAUUAUUCACUAACAGCAAUUUACAGUGUCAAAUUCCCAAGCUAUUUAAUGAUAGGAAAAAAAGUAGAUAAAUAUACAACAACUAAUAUAUUUUGAACUAUAGUCAAUUGAAUACAAUAGCCACACGCAUCACAUUAACUUUUAAUGUAAUUGCAAAUCUACAUUGGUCUUGAUUCUAUAUUAAACACUUUUAUUUUCUGUUAAGAAAUGGUUAAUUAUACUGAGUUUAUAUUAUGUUUAUGUUAUGAAAUGAUUUCUCAAUGUGUAUAGUUUUAGUCUAACUCUCCGCUUACUCAAAAGCAUGAAUUUCAUACUCUCAAAUUUAUAGUGCAUGAAAUCAUUGUGGUGACAAAUUGGUGAACUAUAGUCUUAACUGUUCAAUUUAAUGUUUGUUGGGACGACCUCCCCAUCCCCACCUACAUUUUGGAAGAUUUCACCAGAAAUAGGAUUGGUGAAUUGAUAUAUGAUAUGAGGGAGAGAAUGAGAAUGUUACAGUAGGAUUUCGUCUACAUCCCACCUCUAGUUAAAAAAAAGGGACAUACAAGCACGAUGGUCGGUCCUAAAACUUUUCGUGUCCCGGGCGAAGCAUUAAAAUUGUGUACUUUUAAUUAUUUUAAUAUUUUCCUUCUUUCAUUAAAAUUGUGUACUUUUAAUGAAAAUAUCCUUCUAAUACGAAAACCCAUGAAAAUGCACCCAAUGAUGAUUAAUUACACAUAAACAUAUAAAACACAUAAUAAAAAUAAUUAAAAUAAAUCUAGCUAAAAAUCGGGCUGUUACAUAGCUCAGUCGGAGGGAGCUGUAUCGGAAGCCAACAAUGUGAGGUAACAAAGUGAUGGAGUAGAGAAAUGGGAGUGAAAGUAAAAGGCGAUGUAUCACAUAUGAUUGGAUUUCAGGUAACGUUUAACCUACGAACGGAUUCUUUUUUCCCACCAUGGGAAAGUGGGACCAUUAAUGGCAGGUGGUGGUUUCAACCUGCUAGUUAAAAAUAAAUAAAAAAUCUUAUUACUUAUUUUAUUCCAUUUUAUGUUUUUUACUAUUUCAUCUCCUUGCUGGAAUAAAAAACUGAUUCACAUGCUUGUCUCUUUACUCCUGUACCCUUUCCCCAUCAACACAAAGAAUACUACUAUUUUCUAUCAUCCAUCAUGAAUGCUACAGGCAAACGACCCAUUUCAGCAUUCUUCUCAUAACUCAAGUUUAACUCAAUCUCUUUGUAUAACAAUGAUGGAUUAUUAUCAUGACAGCUCCACAUUCCUCUUUUAUAAUCUUUUUACUCUAAAACUAACACCCGUUCUCAUGCUAAACGCCACCUGGAUUUCAACCCUCUAGUAUAAAAAAAAUUGUUUUGGACUUUGAUCUCAUAUGAUUUGACAAAAACGUUGAUGUAUCACACUGGCUUUUAAUUUAAAAGGUUAAUGGUGCUUUACCCCAGCAAUAUAUGACACUUUUGGUUUUGUCCUUUGUAAAAAGAAUAGAUUUGGUCCUAAUAAAAUAAAGAUUCUUCACGAUUGCCCCUAAGCAAUUUGAGUUAGCAGAAUUUCUGAUGUGACACUAACGUGACUUUUACUUUUUAUUUUUUAAUUUUUUUUAGAUGCCACGCGUAAAAAAAUAUUACACGUAAUUUAUAAUUAAAAAAAAAGAAAAUAAUAAUAAUAAUUGUUUUUUAUUAAUAAUUUAAAAAGACAAAAUUAUUUUAAAAGAAAAACAAAAAUUCUUAAAUUCAAUCUAUUUCUUCUCUUCUAUUCUUCGUUUUCUUCUUCAUUUACAAUUUUGACGUGUAUAAAACAAAACCCUUUUUCAAUCUCCUCGCUUCUCUCAACACAGGUAAACUGAUUCAAUCGAUCUCUUCUUCUUCUUCUUCUUCUUCUUCAAUUUAAAUUCACAAAACCCUAAAUUCGAUGUUAACAAUUGUGAUUGAAUUCCGUGAAUGAAUCAGAUUUUACAAAUUAUUUGGAAUGGUGGGAGGCGGUUUAAUCAAGCUGAAGACAUGGCAGAAGACAGCUGUGACAUUAGGUUCUGCAGUUGGAGCACUUUUGGAUCCACGAAGAGCUGAUUUGAUAGCAGCUCUUGGUGAAACAACUAGAAAGCCUGCCUUUCAAAGGGUUCUUCAAAGGAUGAAAUCUUCCCCUGAAGGAAGGCUCGGUUCUCCAAUUUUUAGUUAUUUUCAUGUUCUUUUAUUCUUUCAACAAC
rnacentral:lncRNA from 1 species